rnacentral:miRNA from 1 species
CAUGAACGACGACGUGACGCCG